rnacentral:lncRNA from 10 species
CCAAAGCGGCGCAAACAAUUACCAGCACGUUCUCAGCGCUAGGUCUAAUUGGGUGAGUUUUUAUUGUAGAAAUGCGCCCCUGAAGAUGUGAGACGCGUAGGUGGGCCCCUGCGCCUUUCCACCGGCCUCCCACUGCCCGUGCUCACAGAAGAAACUGGGUCCUUAGACCCAGGCGGGACCCACUGAAACCCCGCGUUCAGUCAUUUCCCAGGGGGAUGCGGCCCCCCAGUGCCAACCUUCCAAAGUUCAGGUGAGUUCACGACGCUCGGAUCCUAGUGGGGUCCUCCUCGGUGUCAAGGAGCAAGAGAGGCCGUAGCAGCUGUGGGAAACAGCCACAGGGCCUGCGAGUCCAGACGGGUAGCUCCAGGCUAGUUGCACGCUUGCGGUUCCUGCCCCUUCCGUGUGCAAAGUAAGGAAGUCAGCAGGCGGCGAGCAAGCAAGACGGGCUGGCGCGCCGUCUUUCAGGAAGGUUUCCCGACCCGACCGCCGUCUUUCGGGAAGGUUUCCCGACUGGACCCUCUGUCCAGAGGAAGAAAGAUUUGGCCAGGGGAUCAGAAUCACGGUACCUACAGGUACUGGGAUCGAGACCCUACACAGGCUCCCGACGCCUCGGUCUCCCUUUCCUCUCGGGUUGCCACUCUAGUUCAGGAAGGGUCUUUGGGUCAGGGCACCGUGUUCCCAGGGGCCAGCGAUCCCCGGUGUCGUGCCCUCCCUACCAGGCUCAAGCUGGCUGCUCUUGGCUAGGUCGGGACGGGGCGCCCGGCGGCCGUGGCUCAGUCCCAAGCUACACCGGCCGCGUCUUCCAGGGCGCGCGGGCGUCGCGCAGCGAGCGGUCGUGGGGCAGCGCGGCGAAGGCCGAAUGGCGCAGCUGGCAACCGAUGAAGAGGACGACGAGCGCCACCGAGAGCAGCAGCAGGAAGAAGAGCAGCAGGGAGGAGAAACUCCCAGGAGCCUGGAGAGAAUGGCUCGGCACAGCAGAUGCAGCCGUGGUGGCCAUGGAGCUGACCAGCCUCUUGGGAGUGAGCUGGCCACCUGAGCACGGUCCACUCAGCCCACACAAGCAGCAGCACCACCUCGCUGACAGGAGCUUCGUCAAUGCCUGCCGCCUCCUCCUUCCAUAACGAGGGACCACCUAGCAGGGACUUUCACUUUUAUUUCCACAGAGAACCUUGUGGUUAGAAGUCCAAUGGGUCUAGGCUGUGGGAAUCUUCUUAUUAACCACAAACAGAUGUCAAAAGGAUCUUUCCUAAUACUGUAGAUACUGCACUUGGCUCGUGUGGGAGUCCACUGUCUGUGGAAACAUUACUCGUCUAUUUUUCAGGUAUGGUCUAUACACAUAAAAGGCAGAGAUCUUAAAGGUACAGUUUGAUCCAUUUUGACAAAUGGAUACACCCCCUGUUUUUAUCAGAUGCUUCACUGAGCCCCCGUUUCAUGGUGUAAUUUAAGUGCCAUGACACCUGGAUACCCCCACCUUCUAUGAUCAGUGAUAUUCACAUGAAUCAGUUACAUACUGCUUGAGGCUGGCUGGCCUGACACUUGGCCAUUGUUUGAGACCUACAAGUAGGUAGGUGGGCUGUUGUCUGCCCCUAAACCAUGUCAGCUCAGGGGCAGUUCAGUUAUGGCUGAGCUUCGAGCUGCAUGCUGGGUGCCCCAGGAUGAAGCAGAGGGUCACCCAAUGACCAGGCUCUUUCUGUAGUUCCCUGUGGCCCAAGCUAGGAGAACAGAAACUUCAAUCAUGGAUGAGGCUGUUUCUAGGUGGCAAAUAUUUGUCAUAAGUAUCUCAUUAAUUACCUGGCAUAAAGUAAUUUGCUUUUCAUCUAAGAGUAACUGCUUAAAAUAGACUGGAAAACAACCCAAACAGUGAAAAUAAUAUAGUUGGUAAACUUCAGUGUAUAUCAGAGACCCUUGGUGCAGUUUUCCAAAAGCAGAUCCCCAGACCCCACUCCAGAGAUGCUGAUUCAUUAGGUCUGGGUGGGGUCUGGGAUCUGUAGUUUUAACAGCUAGUUCUGAGGUGGGGAACACUUUGAGAAACACGGCUGUCAGUUAGAUGCUGAGAACCUCCCACUGAGACUGGACAGGGCCAGUUAGAAGCAAGCGGCGGCAGACCCUAAACGCAGUGUGCAUCUGCUCAGUGGAUGUGCACCAUGGAAUGAAGUACAGCAUUGGAAUUCUGAACCAUCCUGCACUCAAGAGGCAUGAGGUUGGCUCAAGGCUGCCAUUGCUGUGGGAGGCAGAGGAAUGUCCCCUACUCCCAAGAUGUCCCCGUCCUGAUCCCUGAUGUUCUGCCUGUGGGAAACAUGACUGUUUCUCCUCAAAGGGGAACUGAGGUGGCAAAUAGAAUUCAGGUUGCUGAUCAGCUGCCCUUAACAGAAGGAGAUUAUUCUGGAUUGUCCUGGUGGAACCAAUUCAAUCACAUGAGUCCUUAAAAGUGGAGGAGGGGCCGGGCGCAGUGGCUCAUGCCUGUAAUCCCAACACUUUGGGAGGCUGAGAUGGGCGGAUCACAAGGUCAGGAGUUCGAGACCAGCCUGACCAACAUGGUAAAACCCCAUCUCUACUAAAAAAAUACAAAAAUUAGCUGGGCGUGGUGGCACACACCUGUGAUCCCAGCUACUCAGGAGGCUGAGGCAGGAGAAUCACUUGAACCCAGGAGGCAGAGGUUGCAGUGGGCCGAGAUUGUGCCGUUGCACUCCAGCCUGGGCAACAGAGUGAGACUCCAUCUCAAAAAAAAAAAAAAAAAUGGUGGAGGAGGAAGGCAGAAGAGUGGGGUCAGAGAUGGGACAAUGGAAGAUGAGGCAGGGCAAAUGGAGUGUGAGGGUGCCUGAUGCCUGCUGCCAGCUCUGAGGUGGUGGGGCUGUAUGCACAGACCAAGUGCUGGAGCUCAGGGCAGCCCAGCUGUGGCCAGCAAGGCAACAGGGACAGGCCUGCAGCCCCGUGGAAAUGCACUCUGCCGACAACUGAAUGAGCAAGGAGACUGAGCCUCCCUGGAGCCUCUGGAAAGGAGCACAGUGCCCUGACAACACUGUGGCCGUAGCCCAGUGAGACCCACAGAACCUGUGUUGUUUUAAAUCACCACGUGGGUGGAAAUCCAGUCAUUUACCUUCAUUGACUUCGUCAUUUUCUCUGUCCACCUGGGCUUUCAGGACGUAUCUUUUUAUGAGCCGUUUCAUGAUUUUCUGAAAUGCCAAGCAAGGAAGGGAUCAGACAGGGCUGGCCUAAUGCAGAGGCAGCCUGCGUGGUGUAGCAGGACCCCUCCCUCCCUUGAAGAGCCUCAGCAACCAUGGCGACCCUCCCAUGCCUGGCGCCUCACUCUGGAGGGGUGCCCUGCACAGUGCGGGUACCUGGCCAGCCUCUGUUUCGCCUCCCCCGCAGGAUGCAAUGUGCAACUGAACCUGGGAUGUAACAGGAAUACUUCUUAAUGGCAGGAAGCUGAGCCAAGCAGAGAGAGAGACAGAGAGAAAGGGUGGAGUGGGCAGUGGCACAAAUCUCUGCUCCAGGGGCCUUGGCCUGGCUCUGCCCUGCUCAGUCAAGUCAUCUUUCCUGGACCUCAGUUCUGUUUUAAGGAUGGAGGGCUGGGGAAGACUUAGCAGGCCUGCCUGGGUGGAGCUGCCUCCCUCAGAGGUCACAGUGAGCAGUGUGCCCUUCAUGAAGAGAUCCGCUGGGUACAGAAGUCAGGAUCAGGCUUGGAGGACAAGUCCACUGUACCUUGGAAAAUUCCUACCAGAAGCAGAAGCAGACACAGCCGGGCCUCUGGGGUUUUACAGAGAUACCACUUCCCACAGGCCUGACACUGUACUGCCGGAGUCACACUGGAGCAGGAUUUGGCCCUCAAGUUCCAUUUAUUAUGAAGAUACUGAAUUCGUUAAGCAGGCGAGGCAUGAAUAAACACUUAAGAGACACCAAGAAUAGAGCCAAGUGUAGGAAAGACUGCAGGAGGUGAACUUUGGAUUUUGCCAGCUAGUUGGUCCAGGGUUCCUGCGAAAUCACAGGAUUUAAAAAUACUCGGGUAGCCGAGACUUCUGAAUCUUCCAAGAGAUGAGCAGUGUGGAAGAGAGGAAGGGAUUUCCCUGCUCCUUGGUCCUCCCUUCUUGUGGCCUUCUGACCUGCUCACACCUGAGGACCAAGAGGACAGAGGCAGCAUUUUCCAGUUUGAAGAGACCUGUAGGGACCUGAUUCUGUUCCUAGCUUUGCUACAUAGGCUGAGGAAAAGCAUCUUGCAAAUAAAAAGUAAGUGAACUGGAUGCAAAGAGCUGCAGGAUUUACUCAUUAUCAUCAAUUAUGGUUCUUUCCAUCCCUUUAACCAUGAAGAGCUUGCCACAGAGAUGCUUCCUGGCCUGUGAUUCUAAGACUUCACCUGAACCCGAAAGGCUCUCUAGGAUAACACUGGGUUUAGCUCAUUCAGGCCAGCACUGCCCCUCCUCAGCCCUCGGGCUCAUGGGCCAACUGGCUGUGUGGUUUGAGUUGUGAUCUAAUUUCAGGCUGAAGAGUUAAUUGGCAGUUGCCUUCCUGCUGCUCCUUCUCAGAGAAGCCUGGGUCUUAUCCUACUAGCGGUUAAACUGCAGCGCUGAAUUUCUCAUGGACAUAGUCUAGUCAAUAAAGUAAGUUAUCUAAGUUAUAAAAAAUAUAUCCCUUUCAAGCUAGGUGCAGUGGCUCAUGCCCAUAAUCUCAGCACUUUGGGAGGCCAAGGUGGGUGGAUAACCUGAGGUCAGGAGUUCAAGACCAGCCUGGCUAAAAUGGCGAAACCCUGUCUCUGCUAAAAAUACAAAAAUUAGCUGGGCAUGGUGGUGUGUGCCUGUAAUCCCAGCUACUCGUGAGGCUGAGGCAGAGAGCAUUGCUUGAACCUGGGAGGCAGAGGUUGCAGUCAGCCAAGAUCAUGCCACUGCACUCCAGCCUGGGCAACAGAGCAAGACUCUAAUUCAAAAAAAAAA